CCUCAGGUCGCCCCACAAUGCCCUGCGCGGCGGGACCCCCAGACUCAGCCGCCUCCAGGCACGCACGAGCCCGCAGGAGGUCGCCAUCUUGGAAACGAUACAGAAAGACUGCCCGUGGCACGACGGGAGAGACCAUGCUCCUUCUCGCUGCAGGAUAGUAAAGAACUUCUGGCUAGACAAUGACAUUACAGUGCUGUGUCACUCCAUAACUCGUGACAGUGCAUGGACCUGCAUGGACUCUGGCUGAUUUCUGCAUUGGCGGUUCUUCCCUUCUCUGAUAACCAGGUUUUGUUUUAUGUAUAACCUAUUGUGUUGAAUGUAUGAGCUUUGCAAGAGUAUUAGAGGAGCGAAUUGUACUCUGCAUAUGGGCCCAGGGUCCUCAGGACUCAGGGCAAGUGGACCUGAAGGCCCAAGGACACUAGGGACUUGAGGUCCACUUCUGAAGUGAUCUUAGGCUAAUUUGGUGAAUGUACUGCCCCUGCUCCUCAGUUUGUCAGGCGCAGUGGUGAAAGGAGCACUUACAUGAAGGGCCGGAUGCUGCAAAGCCUCACUCGCACAAGUACAUGGGUGAGGGCCCAUUGAUAUCAGCAGGGCUGCUUGUGUCUGUAAGGCCCUGCAGGAUCAGGACCCGCAUCUGUGGGUGGGGAGCACAAUCAAUGGUGGCAUUAACAUUCUCAGAGUAGGAGGAGGAAAUCAGGCUCCCUCCAGCGAACAAACUGGAAGCCAGCGCUGGAGGAGCUGUGGGCCCGCAGCAAGCUAUUCUGGCUCUGUAGUUUUCAGGAACACGUACUUGGGUGCUAGGAAAUCCCUGUCUGAGCAGGUCCCUGCCCCCAAAGAUGAGCAUUAUCUGAGGGUGGCGUGUCUGAAGCAGGGAAGAGCAGGAAGUGGAUGCCACCUAUUCUUCACACACCCUUCAGGAGAGGCAUCUUUGAACUAUUUGGGAGGGAGAGGAAUGCAGGACUGGCUGCCAGCUCAACAGAUGCUUGGAUGGAACACAGUGUGGUGAAUCAGAGGUACCCUGACACCUGUGCCCUUGCAUAGGGUCUCGCUGUCUUGGAUCCUUGCUAUGCACACACAGCCAGUCAUCAGGGUGCCAUCCCCAGAUCGCUGUACCUGCAGGUCACCCCAGAGAUGCUUGCAAUUCCCUGUCUUUCUCCUGGCCUGGAAAGUUGUGUUGUGGCUCCAUCUACUGACUUCCUGUUCACAUAGCAGAAGUAAAAGGGUCACCAAGACAUAAACAGGUGAAGGAGGGGAAUUACCACAACUUGUGGGACUGGUGCGCAGCCAGAUGGGAGCAGAGAGGCGGUUUCCUGGGUAUGUAGAGAUAUGGGGGGGGAGGGGAACUCAAGUCAAAUGGGCCAAGAGAACUAGACCGGCCCCAUCAUCUCUAUAAUGGCCUGCCAAAGGCUAGCAGGCCCUUUAAGGAAAGUCAGCCUCAGCCUUGCCUGUUACUUAGCAGUUACCCCCCAGCAGAUCCUGAUCUGGUGGCUUAAUUACCAGUAAUGACCCCAGCUGGGAAAGGGUCAGGGAGGACUACGUAGAGAAAGCACUUUGUCAGAAAGGGGAAAUCUAGGACAGAGGAGCGAUAGAAGUGCCAGCUCUUUAGGAAGAGCCUGGUGAAGGCAAGGUAGAGAGAACCACAGGGAGCACGAGAGUGUCUAAGAAGCAGGGAGGUCCCUGGUAGAAGUUACCAGAGUCCCCAGGAAGGGGAGGAAGUGGGGAAAAAAAGCCUAGGAGGUAGUGCAGAGUCAAAGAAGCAAAGAAAUAACUCUGCAGUGCCCAGGAGCUGGGGUGAAAAGCAGAGAACCUCAAUACAGCUUGAGAGGGACAGAAGGAGCUCUGUGUGGGUGUUGGUGUGGAUUCUUUAGCUGGAAAGAGACAGAACUGCAAAGAGAGGACAUGGCUGGAAGGCUGGGCCAUGAAAGAUGAAGACAGAAACAGGCCAUUGCAGAGCCAAAGAAGUGGUCAACUGGGAUGCUAGAAAUGGACACUCUCUGCCCCCCCCCUCCAAAAAAAAAGCCAGGGGGCGCUACAAUGGUGAGUGGAACUGCUUAAACGGCCAGAUCCCACAGGUCAGGGUUGUUGGAGUCCACACUUUUUAGAGAUUGGUUCUGGUCCCACUCUCGGGCAUUAACCUGGAUGUAGACUCUCGUUUCAGGCUCUUCUCUACUUAUUAGAAUGCUUCAUAUUUUGGCAUUACCCCCAUUUUUCAGAUGUGUUAUCAAUGUUCUCACUGAAAUACUCAUUUUACAGAUCUCUAUGUAAUCUCCCUUAAGAUUUUAGUGAUAUUUGUGGUGGACUUUAAAUGCAUUUUCAGUAAAAUAUUUAUCCAGGGCAUGACUGGAUUUUGUAAUUUUUUUAAACCCUCCCCCUCGUACAAUGGCUGUAUGUUUUUGUUGUAACAGUGUAAAUGCUUUCAACUGAUACUACUCUCAUAAAGCUCUACAGGUGUGUGUA